CAGUCAUUUUGGAAAAUCAUAAGCAAGAGUCCAGAACAGGAAAAGGGAUGCAUGGUAAAAUCGUCUGUAUUUUAGUGCUUGCUGUGGGAAUUUUCCUCGCAAGCAUACACAUGGCAGAAUCAUACAUCUCUGUUACAGAUAAGGAUGAAGAAAAAUUCAUACAGAGAAACUUAGGAGAAGGGAAAAGGCUACCGAGUAAAAGAUUUGAGGAAAUGCGCGAGAAAGAAGCGCGAAAAUUCAGAAAGAAUCAGGGCUUUUUGCUUGAUGUCUGAGUUCGUGAUUGUUCCCUGAGUCAAACAUUUACAAGAAGAGAUAGCGACGAUGGAAGAUAUCGCAAUCAAGGACUUUGGAACUUUAUUGAAAUACAUCCUUGGUUUAUUUUAUUGUUUAUCAGUUUUUGACGUUAUAUCCAAUGGCUUGAAGAAAAAAUUCUUGCUUCAAUAAGUCUUGUACAUGGUCACUUGAAAAUCAUGGAAUUAAAACAACUCCACGAACUGUGAAA